rfam:Triticum aestivum genome assembly, contig: Triticum_aestivum_CS42_TGACv1_scaffold_435231_5DL
AUGCUACUCCCUCCGUCUGAAAAAACUUGUCCCAAGCUUGUCUCUCAAAUGGAUGUAUCUUGCACUAACUUUGUGCUAGAUACAUCCAUUUGAGGGACAAGCUUUUUCGGACGGAGGGAGUAUGUA